AAUUGGGUCUUCUUCUCAGAGGCUGUGUAACAAGAUUAAGCGAUCAAAAAUUUCCAAGAGCACCAGGAUAGAUUAACUUAGCAGCACAAGGACAUGUUUGGCAUGCAUAAAGAAACAAGUGCAAGGAUAAUUUUUUUUUUCUCUUUUCCAAUCAAAAUCCCAUUGUUUAACGAUCCAUUGAUUCAACACAAUUACAAAAUAUGAAAACCAUCUUUCAACAACUUGAAUUGCUAAAAAUCUUCUUUUCUAAGGCUAAUAAGGAAACUGAAAUGUUACCAGUGGCUGUUUCAG
rnacentral:misc_RNA from 1 species